rnacentral:lncRNA from 1 species
AUACAUCACGGUUAUCCAUCUCCAGAAGGAUGAUCAAAUCGCAAAAUCUUCAGGUCCCCACGCCUUUGAACAUAGGCACAUCCAGCAAAAGCAGAUGAGAACCUGGCUCUGUUUCAAAGACGCUUCUCCGGGUUUAGAGAGCGGGUCGCGAAAAUUCAGCUGCGGCGCCAUCUGCUGGAAGCGCCGCGACGCUGCAAGGAGCUUGCCGGGGAAGGAGGAGACGAGUUGCAGGUGAACGUCCAGCCCUUUGCCCAGAGAAGGCUCUGACACCAAGUGUGUGAACCUGGCUCUGUCCCUUGGGUUCAGUACAAAUAAACGGAGCUGCUGAGGGAACA